CAUUUUGUGGUGUUUUAGCACUCCUAAUUUGCGUUUAGGGAGAUAAAUUAAUUUACUUAGUGA
rnacentral:tRNA from 1 species